UUGGCGGCGCACCUACCCAGAAAAGGAUUCUUAAAUAAUUUUCAAGACACAGGAACUUUAACUCGUAACUAAGGAGAAAUUCAAUUCGGCAAAAAUGUCACUCCGUGUCUUCAUUCUGGCUCUCUCUCUUACCCUGGUAAUUCUUGGCGCAUCACUGACGUCAGGGAGCGCCGAUUCCGACUGGGAUAACUGGUACAACAGAGGAAUGGGUGUAAGGAUAAUUGAUGAACUCGGAAAGCGAGGCAAUGGACUCGGCAGCGGGCGAUAUGUUCGAUGCAUCAAAAAGGGAACAGAUCAGCGAUGUUUCUGUGACGUGCUGCGGAACAAGAAGGAUCCCGGGUACUACCUCGCAUGCUCCAAAUUCUCACUUGAACCUCCGAUUGAGGAGGAGUGAACAACGACCCUUCAUGAUGAAUAAUGUUGUUUUUGUUAAGCCUACACAUGACUUCUUCCCCUCAAAUAAAACUGAAAUAUGUACCCCACGUGACGUUCGUUGAAAGACCUUUCUCCACUGAAGUCGAAUUUUUGCAACAUAACGCACUGCCUAGGAAACGGAAUACACCCUUUCACGGUUACAAUAGUGUGCAUGCACUAAGAUUUGCGCCGUCUUAUUUAAAAUGACGCCCAUGUCAAUAUGAUGUGAGCGCAAAGCGCAGGCAGUGACACAACAAUACAUGCUCAUCUGUAAACUUUGAUGACGCAAUGUUUGCGCGCAAAUUAAAAUGGCGGCCUAAACCUGCUUUGUAAUAGAACGCCCUCAUAUGUCCAGUUGUACUUGAAAGCUAGUAAACCAAUAUUAGAAUGAAAACAAACUUGUUAUUUAGAGCUCAUUCGAGAUGAAGAGUCAAAAGCUAGUUGAUAAAAAAGCAAUAUAAUUUGGUAAUGAGAGGGAGGCGUCGAUUUCCACUUAUUCGAGGAUCAUAUACAUUUAUUCUUUGAUUUGAAAUAUUGUAAAUAUUACUUUUUGUAAGAACUUGAAUGAUUAAUAAUAUUGCAGUUCAUAUUUUGUUCACCACAUUUAUUUGAAAUUCCAUGGUCUGCUUAUUUCUUGAUGUCGCUAGAUUCAACGUCCUGGGCCAGAUUAAUACAUGAGUGUGGGUCUCUCCUUUGGGUAAUAUUCCACUUGUAGAGGAAAUGUACCGAAAUAAACGUUUUCUUGAAAUAAAUAAAGCAAUGAGAGCAUUUUAAUGUGAGAUCAUAUGGACUAAUUUAUGGAAGACUGAUGAUACUCUCGUUAAUUGUCUUGAUGUCGUGGUUGUGGUUUUUGUUUUUGUAUUAUGUAAAGAAUCGAGUGGUUAAAUUCUCUUCGUCAGAUACUAUAAUUUCACCAUACUUCGUAGUCUCGAUACAUGUAAUUCCUAAUACGUUCCCUAAUUAAAAUUGUCUUUCAUAUCUUCGUUCGUGUUAUUUAUUCCCUAUUCCUUUUACUUGUUACUCGUUAUUUUUGUUAUCUAUUUACUUAUUUGCAUUUUCAUUUGUAUUACCUUUGUUAGUGGUUUAAUCAUUGCAGUCUGAUUGUCGUUAAAUUAACGUAAAUUUAGUGACGAUGAGUACCUAAGUUUGGAAAUGUUAAAGAAUGACGAGAUUACGCGUUAUGUAAUAAUAUACAAGCGUUUUUCCCCAAUAUUAUUAUUAUUAUUUUAUUAUUUGUAAGGGAUGUAUUUUUAGUCAUCGUUCAAUUAAUGCUAAUCGACUUUAAUAAGGCAAUUUCAUUUUUGUUUUGCUUUUGCUUUUGUUUGCAUUUGUUUGUUUAAUUAAGAUGUUGCAUUAUGAUGAUCUUCAUAAAUUAAUUAAGAUUAUUUUUGUAUAAUGUGAUCAAUAGAAAACGUACUGUUUGAAUGAUUUAAUCUAAUGUAAUAUAAUUAUAUAUGAAAUUUUGGGGAUUGGAUGUAUCAUGUUUUCAAAACACAUUAUUCAUUAAUUCAUGUGUUCACGUUUAGAUUAAAGGUAACGUGUGUUAACCUAUAUCAGAAUAUUAGAAUGUACGUUUUCAAUCAUUUUUUUUCUUCUUUUAAAUACGUGGUUAUCAUCUAUUCUUU
rnacentral:lncRNA from 1 species